UUUUAAAAAAAAUUAUCCAUUUCUACUAUUAAAAAAUGAUAUAGUUGACAAAAUAAUUAAACAAUGACACAUGAUGUGCUACAUGUAUCUCAUACUGACAUACAAAGACUAGUUUUUAACAGUAAAAAUAGAUGAAACUUUUAAUA
rfam:Gossypium raimondii Chr02_contig_20, whole genome shotgun sequence.